UACAGAGGUCCCAAGCGUUGUUCGGAUUUACUGGGCGUAAAGGGUGCGUAGGUGGCGGGGUAAGUCUGAUGUGAAAUCUCCGAGCUCAACUCGGAAAAGCAUUGGAAACUAUCCCACUUGAGGGUCGGAGGGGAGACUGGAAUUCUCGGUGUAGCAGUGAAAUGCGUAGAUAUCGAGAGGAACACCAGUGGCGAAGGCGAGUCUCUGGACGACUCCUGACACUGAGGCACGAAAGCUAGGGGAGCAAACAGG
rnacentral:rRNA from 1 species